GGAGAGGGCAGGUAGGUACGGGGUGAGGACCGGUCCGCGACGGCAACGGGGGUGGCAGGUCCUCAAUCCCACCACUGCGUCCUGGCACGGGAGAUGCUGUAUCUGCGGACGCGAGCGGGUUCCCAGGGCCCAGCCUCCGUUUUAGGCCAAUGGCACCUCUAGGCGUCUUCAUGCUGAAGAUGAGCCCUCCUAGCCUGAAUUGAAACAUAGUGCUUGGGAACAGUAGCUUGGGGGCCGGCAAGGUGGCUUAGCUGGUAGUGGCGCUUGUGGCCAAACCUGACAACAUGAGAGUUCGACCCCUGAGCAUGUUGAAAGAAUCGAUUCUUGUAGGCUGUUCUCUGAUCUACAUUCUCACUUCGUUGCACACUCUGCCAACACACGCAGAACAAAUAAAUGUAAUUUGUAAGGGGCUGGCGAGGUGGCUCCGCGGUUAAGAACUUGACCUGCUCUCUAGCAGAGGACCAGGGUUCAGUUCCCAGAGCUCACAGCUGCCUGUAUCUCCAGAGAAUCCAACCCUCUACCCUUUCCGGUCACCUGAACUCACUUCUGCACACACAUACACAUAACAAAAAUAUUUUUUAUAGUUGUUAGUAAGUAGGAGAAAUUUGAAAUUGUCACUUUUCUUUGUCCCAUGCCUGUUCUUCUCAAUACUUAACACCUGUCAUGACUCCCAAAGGCAGUCUCAGCGGCUGAAUCCUUUAGAAAACUUUUUUUUUUCCCCAAAUGGAGAAACUGGGAUCCAGGUAGCCCCUGGCCCAGAGUCAGGCAGCUAGGAAGCAGCAGAGAGGAGAUUGAUGCCCAAGCUGUGGUCUGCUGUGGCAUUUGAGGUCAGGAAUGACCCUUGGCACAGAAGAGCCCCUGUGCAUCCACCUGAGCAGACUGGGUGUAAUCUGGCUGUGAUACUACCUGUGGUGAUUAGCCAUUUAAGACUUCAGAAGCUGAGGCUGGAAGAUCUGGAGUACUAGGCCAGCCGGGAUUACACAGAAAGGCAUGUCUCCAAAACAAACAUGUUCAACAUUGUAAAGCAGACCCCAAGCACAUAGCACUUCAAGCUGGGUGUCCACACUACCAGCCCAUACACUUUUUCAUUAUAGCAAACCCCAGAGUCACUCCCGCUCCCAUUUCCCUCUGUUUUUAAUUUUUGUUUGUUUUGAUUUUGCUUUUUGAGACAGGGUCUUCCUGUCUGGUUCUGGCUAGCUUGGAACUUGGCUUUGUGGACCAUACUGGUCUCGAACUCAGUGUGUACCCUCCUGGUUCCACACACACACACACACCCCGAAUGCUGGGAUUAAAGGCAUACACCAUCACUCCCUGGUCUGUAUUCUCUUCUGACAGGCGAUGAGCAGGCACUCCACAACAGUCAGACCCAGGUCCGCAGCUGGUAAAGAAUGGAGCUUGAAUUUAAACUCAGGUAGCUGUGCCUCGCAAACCUGGCUGGGCAUUGAAGUACUUGGCCACCAAAGGUAUCUGGGUCAGGACGUGUGAUGAUGACUCAGUAGGUGAAGACACUGACACCAAGCCUGGCUAUCUGAGUUCCAUCCCCCAUGUGGGGGAAGGAGAGAGUUAACUCCUCCUCUGACCUGCACACAAUGGCACAGUCACACCUGGACACACACACACACACAAUGUUUUGUUUUAAUUUAGGGGUGGAGAGAUGGCUCAGUAGUUAAGAGCACAUACUGCUUUUCUGGAAUAUCUGAGUUCAGUUCCCAGUCCCCAUGUCAGGUGACUCAACGGCUGCCUGUAAUUCCAGCUCCAGGGAGUCUAAUGUCCUCUCCUAGACUCUCUGGGCACAAGCACACACUAUUUAAAAAUAAAUUUCUCUUUUAAAAACCUUACCCCUGGAGGUGGUGAUGCACACCUUUAAUCCCAGUGCUUAGGAGGCAGAAGCAGGUGGAUCACAGAGCGAGUUCCAGGGCUAAGGCUACACAGAAAAACCUUGUC
rnacentral:lncRNA from 1 species